UACGAAGGGGGCUAGCGUUGCUCGGAAUCACUGGGCGUAAAGCGCACGUAGGCGGCUUGUUAAGUCAGGGGUGAAAUCCUGGAGCUCAACUCCAGAACUGCCUUUGAUACUGGCGAGCUUGAGUUCGGGAGAGGUGAGUGGAACUGCGAGUGUAGAGGUGAAAUUCGUAGAUAUUCGCAAGAACACCAGUGGCGAAGGCGGCUCACUGGCCCGAUACUGACGCUGAGGUGCGAAAGCGUGGGGAGCAACAGG
rnacentral:rRNA from 1 species